rnacentral:lncRNA from 1 species
GCAGUAGCCCCGUCUUUUGCCUCUGUCCUGACGGAGGCGGGACUUCCUGUUUCGUGUUCCCUGGGACCUCCAAAGGGAUACUGGGGCUGAGAGGGAGAAUGUCUACGUCCUGUGGCAGCGGAUCAAGCAGUGCAUUAGUUCGGGCCUGCUUCCGUAGUUCUCACUGAUUCGUGCAGUUAUCCACACUCUCUCCAAAGGCGCUUUCAGGCGGCCUUGGUGUUCUGAGUGCGCAAGAGUGUGUGUCCGCAGGUGGAGAAAGGGCAUGGAGGAGCCGCCACCGGCUCCCCCGAGCUUCUUUUGCAGGGCACGGCGUCCUUCCUCCCGAGUCUUUGCUGCCGGAGCUGUGGCUGCCGACUCGGAAUCUCUGGUGGAGAAUCAGAAGUUGCCUUCCUUAGUCCAAGAACCCUAUUACCCGGAAUCCGGUUGGGAUCGCCUCCGGGAGCUGUUUGUCAGAGAUGAACAACAGAGAAUUUCAAAGGAACUUGAGAAUAUCUAUAGGGCAGCAGCUUCAGCAGGCAUCAUUGGCUGGGCAUAUGGUGGAAUACCAGCUUUUGUUCAUGCUAAACAACGCUACAUUGAGCAGAGCCAAGCAGAAAUUUAUCAUAACCGGUUUGAUGCUGUGCAAUGUGCGCAUCGUGCUGCCACACGAGGCUUCAUUCGAUAUGGCUGGCGCUGGAGUUGGAGAACUGCAGUGUUUGUGACUAUAUUCAACACUCCUGUAGGAGGCCUGAUGAUGGCACUUCAGAAGUACUAUGGUGAGACUGUUCAGGAGAGAAAACAGAAGGAUCGAAAGGCAUUCUAUGAGCUGAAACAGGAAGAAUGGAAAGCCAGACUGCAACUUACUGAGCUCCUCCCUCAGGAAAUUGAAAACAGCCUACAGAAA